rnacentral:lncRNA from 1 species
GGGGGAUGUAUGCUCCAAGGUUGUGCCCACUCGGCACGACCCAGGUUCCAUGCUACAGGCCUCUGCUUGUCCAGACCUGAGGGUCAGAUUCAGAUGGUGCAAAUGUUUAAGACCUGGGUCUUCAACGAGAUGAAUUAUCAGCUAUUUCAUAGCUGCAGUGUUGGAUAUGCCGAGAUGAUAAAAGCAACAGCAAUCAGAAUCAACAGUUGAAACGACGUGGCAGACACUGUGAAUGCUAUGAACUGCUGUGCUGAGCAGCAGGAUUCCUGUGUCCUGGCGCAAUGCCCAUGGGGAUUCAUGCUUUCAGAGGGUCACGCCUCAGGAACACGUAGAAGGGCAAGCAUUUCAUCCGGCAGGGCACUGAUUUAAUCUGCACGCAUGUUUGGCUGUAAAACUAGCUCCUCCCCCUUACCAUUUUUGAGUCGCUGCCGGACUCAAAUUCCACAGAUUCUGGAAGGUGUCCAGGAACUCGUUGAUUUGUCAAACUUAUGGCUACACACAGCUGGAAUGGAGACGGACUCCACUGAAGAGACUCAUACAGGACAGGAGGGAAUUUUAAGAGGAUAACCCUGAGAUUGAAAACAUCAAACCAAACCUGAAGCACUGAGAGGUUGGGUAACCAGCUCUGGUCACUGAGUUGGUGAGGGAUGGAUUCAGAAGAGGUCUCCAAUUGUGACACCGCAGAGGACCUGCUCUUGGCCACCACACUCUACCAGCUCUGCAAGAAGGGGGAAGAAAAUAGGGCUGUUUUGAGGAGAUGUGGCUGAGAAAACAGAAAAAGAGAAUUACAGGCCUGAAAUCCCAGCACUCUGGGAGGCUGAGGCCCCUGGCGCUGGUUCUCUCUGGAGGUUGAGUUUCCGUGGGGAGAGAAGAGUGCCCAGCGUGACCACCGUUGGCUGACUUCCCAUGCAUUAUUCCUUGUUUCCCCCGCUGGGGCCCAGCCCACCAGCCCCACAGUGCAUGAAGCCACUUAUCACCAAGGUUCCCAGAGAGGACGGGCUGGCCCAAGUCUGCAUUGUCACCUGCUUUGGGGAAAACAAAGCCCUUUCCCCCGCCCUCCCCACAGCAUGCUGGGCACAGGGCCAGCCCGUUCUAUGUUUUCAGUAAAUUUUCAAAACUGCUGGUUUUGGUGGCAGCUUUUGCAGUGAUUAUCUCAUUAGGGGCUUGGCCCUGAAACACCUUAUUUAUUGUGGAUUGAAAAAAGUUCACCUUUUCAAGCAAAAAAAAAAAAAAAAAAAAAACAGAAGAAAUAAAUAAAAGAACCAGACUGUAGUUUCCCUGGAAAAUUUUCGCUUGUGGGAAAAUACCUCCCUGGCCCGUAGAGAGACGCCAUCACCAACAGUGUGGAGUUAUCAGAUGGGACUGGUCCAGCUUUGUGGGGCCGGGGCACACAGUGCCAAUGUCCAGGUAGUUUCCAAACCGUGUUUUGUUUCCUCUGUCCUCUUUAUAAACCCACGGAUUGAACCUCAUGGGCCCACAAGUUCCUGAUUGCUUCGUAUAUAUUGUACAGAUUUUUUCAGGAAAAUAAAAUAGAUCUUGCUCUACCCUGACAGAGC